rnacentral:rRNA from 1 species
UACGUAGGGGGCGAGCGUUGUCCGGAUUUAUUGGGCGUAAAGCGCGCGUAGGCGGCCCGGUAAGUCCGUUGUAAAAGUCAAAGGCUCAACCUUUGAAAGCCGAUGGAUACUGCCGGGCUAGAAUCCGGAAGAGGCGAGUGGAAUUCCUGGUGUAGCGGUGGAAUGCGCAGAUAUCAGGAGGAACACCAACAGCGAAGGCAGCUCGCUGGGACGGUAUUGACGCUGAGGCGCGAAAGCGUGGGGAGCAAACAGG